rnacentral:rRNA from 1 species
UACGUAGGGAGCGAGCGUUGUUCGGAUUUACUGGGCGUAAAGGGCAGGUAGGCGGGUAUGCAAGUCAGUUGUGAAAUCCUCUGGCUCAACCAGAGAAUUGCAGCUGAAACUGCAUACCUUGAGUCCAGCAGAGGGAAUCGGAAUCCUAGGUGUAGCGGUGAAAUGCGUAGAUAUCUAGGAGAACACCAGUGGCGAAGGCGGAUUCCUGGGCUGGCACUGACGCUGAGCUGCGAAAGCGUGGGGAGCGAACAGG